rnacentral:lncRNA from 1 species
AAAUAAAGCUUGAUUCUUAUCACGAACAGUUUUUUCAAGGGUCACUAACUGAGGGCAUCAACAUGAAGUUUUGUCAAGGGUCACGAACUGAGGGCGAUAAGAACUCGGAGAAGCUUAGACGACUCUCGCUAAUCGAUUUCAAAAAUCAAUCGUGUUUCUAGGGCUUCGUUCCCUCAAUUGCAGCAAUCGCAGUGGAGAAGGGCUUCGUUCCCUCAGUUGAAGCAAUCGCGAUGAAGAAUGAGUUCGCAAUUUCAAGGGGCUCGGCUUUCUCUCCAAUGGCAAUCGCGUUUCUAGGGCUUCGUUCCCUCAGUUGCAGCAAUCGCGAUGGAGAAGGAGUUCAGAACUCAGCAAUCGAUUUUAUGGAGAACUCAGCAAUCGAUUUUAUGGAGAAGGAACUCGUUCGAUUUUGCAGUGAGGGAUUUUUGGCGAGAGCUAAGUCUUGGACUCUUA